UACGGAGGGAGCGAGCGUUGUUCGGAAUCACUGGGCGUAAAGCGUGCGCAGGCGGUCUUGAAAGUCAGAAGUGAAAGCCCAGGGCUCAACCCUGGAAUUGCUUUUGAAACUCCAAGACUAGAGUACUGGAGGGGUUGGCGGAAUUUCGAGUGUAGCAGUGAAAUGCGUAGAUAUUCGAAGGAACACCGAUGGCGUAGGCAGCCAACUGGACAGUAACUGACGCUCAUGCACGAAAGCGUGGGGAUCAAACAGG
rnacentral:rRNA from 1 species